UACGAGGGGGGGCUAGCGUUGUUCGGAAUACUGGGCGUAAAGCGUGCGCAGGCGGUGAUGUAAGACAGAUGUGAAAUCCCCGGGCUCAACCUGGGAACUGCAUUUGUGACUGCAUCGCUGGAGUACGGCAGAGGGGGAUGGAAUUCCGCGUGUAGCAGUGAAAUGCGUAGAUAUGCGGAGGAACACCGAUGGCGAAGGCAAUCCCCCUGGGCCUGUACUGACGCUCAUGCACGAAA
rnacentral:rRNA from 1 species